UGCACAAGAAGAGGUGUGAGAAGAGAGGGGGAAAACUGAGAUAUGGAGGCAAACAGCAUGAUUAUMAUAUCAUCAUCAUUAUCCGAGUGUUUAGGCAUAUAUUCGGCAAACAAUCACACAUGGCGUCUUCUAUUAUUCAAGCGUUAGCACAUACAUGAAACCAAAUGACCACAGUGUAACUCAAGCGUCAGCUGUAAGAGUGCAAACUCUUGACACUACUUUUCAUUUGAACUUCUAAUUGUUAAAUUGCACAAUCAUCAAGCUCAAUCAGCUGUUGCCUAGCAACUGCAGUCUGGACCGACAGGAGGAGGGGAGCAGCGACAAAAAAAAAGGAAAAGAGGAAAAAGGAAAAAGGAGGGCCAGACAAAGAGUGAGGACAUCAGAAGAGAGGUGCUGGCGAUUGUGAAGUUUUCCCAGACGACGCUGAUYGUGAAACAAGAGUGCAGCGUCCUUCAGAUGGCAUUUACACCAACAACAGUUGACUGGGAGAGCAACACAAUGAAGAGGAGCAGAAAGAAAGAAACAGCAUUGCAAACAGUGAAUGAGGAAUAGAUGGAGGGACGGAGGGAGUGACUUCAUGUUGGUAUUUAGGUCUUAAAUGGUUAAAUGUCCAUGACAUAAGGGUUUUGGAGAAUCACAACCAGAUCUGCUAAAAAAGUAAAGAAUAAAAGUUUGUAUUUUAUAAUCUA